rnacentral:rRNA from 1 species
AUUUGUCUGGUUAAUUCCGAUAACGAACGAGACCUUAACCUGCUAACUAGAUACUUUUAUUCUAUAAAUGCUAUCUUCUUAGAGGGACUAUGUAAUUCAAAUACAUGGAAGUUUGAGGCAAUAACAGGUCAGUGAUGCCCUUAUAUGUCCUGGGCUGCACGCGUGCUACACUGAUGCAUACAACAAGUGCCUAACCAGACAUGGUACGGCAAUCUCGAAUAUGCAUCGUGAUGGGGAUAGAUCUUUGCAAUUAUAGAUCUUGAACGAGGAAUUCCUAGUAAGUGCAAGUCAUCAUCUUGCAUUGAUUAUGUCCCUGCCCUUUGUACACACCGCCCGUCGCUCCUACCGAUACCGGGUGAUCCGGUGAACCUUUUGGACUCAUUGAGAAAGAUAAGUAAACCAUAUCACCUAGAGGAAGGAGAAGUCGUAACAAGGUUUCCGUAGGUGAACCUGCRGAAGGAUCA